GAUGAACGCUGGCGGCGUGCCUAAUACAUGCAAGUCGAGCGAACAGACGAGGAGCUUGCUCCUCUGACGUUAGCGGCGGACGGGUGAGUAACACGUGGAUAACCUACCUAUAAGACUGGGAUAACUUCGGGAAACCGGAGCUAAUACCGGAUAAUAUAUUGAACCGCAUGGUUCAAUAGUGAAAGACGGUUUUGCUGUCACUUAUAGAUGGAUCCGCGCCGCAUUAGCUAGUUGGUAAGGUAACGGCUUACCAAGGCAACGAUGCGUAGCCGACCUGAGAGGGUGAUCGGCCACACUGGAACUGAGACACGGUCCAGACUCCUACGGGAGGCAGCAGUAGGGAAUCUUCCGCAAUGGGCGAAAGCCUGACGGAGCAACGCCGCGUGAGUGAUGAAGGUCUUCGGAUCGUAAAACUCUGUUAUUAGGGAAGAACAAAUGUGUAAGUAACUAUGCACGUCUUGACGGUACCUAAUCAGAAAGCCUCGGCUAACUACGUG
rnacentral:rRNA from 1 species